rnacentral:rRNA from 1 species
AUGCCUGUGGAAGGUGAGGAAAUGUGGCCAGUUUCUGAGAAACCUAGGCCUCAAGCUCCAGCAUAUGCAACCAUACCAGAUAGCAUGCCAGGCAGGCCUAAGAAUAAUGAUAGAAGGAGAGAAGAAAGUGAGAAACCUAAGCCUAGCAAAAAAAUGACCAAGCAUGGCACUGUAAUUAUUUGCUCAAUGUGUGGCACUGCUGGACACAACAAAACAGGUUGCAAGCAAAACCCAUACAGAGGCAAAAAGAAGAAGACUACCAAAAAAAGGGACACAGCAAAGCAAACUGGAGCUAGUGCACCUGCUACUGGCCCAACAACAGCAUUUGCAGCAGCUACUGCCCCAGCAAGAAGUUUUGCAACAACUACUGCCCAAGCAAGAGCCUCUACACCAGCCACUGGCCAAGCAAGAGCAUCUGCAGCAGCCACUGCCCCAGGAAGAUCAUCUGCACCAGCCACUGGCCAAGCAAGAGCAUCUGCAGCAGCCACUGCCCCAGGAAGAGCAUCUGCAUUUAAGCCCCCAAGAGCAAGAGCUGGCCAAACAAGUGCACAACUUGGGCCAUCUACUGGCUAUAAGAGAAAAAGAGCUCCUGCAUCAUCUAUUCCUAGCUUCAAGUACUUUACUACUAGUGGCAAUGUGUAA